GAUGAACGCUAGCGGCAGGCCUAAUACAUGCAAGCCGAACGGCAAGUUUGAUAGCAAUAUUGGACCUAGAGUGGCGCAAGGGUGCGUAACACGUAUGCAACCUGCCCGCGACAGGAGGAUAGCUCCCCGAAAGGGGAAUUAACCCUCCAUAACACCAUGAGAAGGCAUCUGAUUAUGGUUAAACCGCAAGGGGUCGCGGAUGGGCAUGCGGUUGAUUAGCUAGUUGGCGGGGUAAAGGCCCACCAAGGCGGUGAUCAAUAGGGGUUCUGAGAGGAAGGUCCCCCACACUGGCACUGAGAUACGGGCCAGAAUCCUACGGGAGGCAGCAGUAGGGAAUAUUGGACAAUGGUUGCAAGACUGAUCCAGCCAUGCCGCGUGCAGGAAGAAGGCCUUCUGGGUCGUAAACUGCUUUUACCUGUGGAUAAAAUACCCGUGCGCGGGGAAUUGAAGGUAACAGGGGAAUAAGCCACGGCUAACUACGUG
rnacentral:rRNA from 1 species